AGUGAACGCUGGCGGUAGGCCUAACACAUGCAAGUCGAACGGCAGCACAGUAAGAGCUUGCUCUUACGGGUGGCGAGUGGCGGACGGGUGAGGAAUAAAUCGGAAUCUACUUUUUCGUGGGGGAUAACGAAGGGAAACUUAAGCUAAUACCGCAUACGACCUACGGGUGAAAGCAGGGGAUCUUCGGACCUUGCGCGAUUGAAUGCGCCGAUGUCGGAUUAGAUAGUUGGCGGGGUAAAGGCCCACCAAGGCGACGAUCCGUAGCUGGUCUGAGAGGAUGAUCGGCCACACUGGAGCUUAAACAGGGUCCAGACGCCUACGGGAGGCAGCAGUGGGGAAUAUUAGACAAAAGUCGCAAGCCUUAUCCAGCCAUACCGCGUGUGUGAAGAAGGCCUUCGGGUUGUAAAGCCCGUUUGUUGGGAAAGAAAAGCAGCAGGUUAAUACCCCGCUGUACUGACGGUACCCAAAGAAGAAGCACCGGCUAACUUCGUG
rnacentral:rRNA from 1 species